AACGAACGCUGGCGGCAGGCUUAACACAUGCAAGUCGAGCGCCCCGCAAGGGGAGCGGCAGACGGGUGAGUAACGCGUGGGAAUCUACCCAUCUCUACGGAAUAACGCAUGGAAACGUGUGCUAAUACCGUAUACGUCCUCCGGGAGAAAGAUUUAUCGGAGAUGGAUGAGCCCGCGUUGGAUUAGCUAGUUGGUGGGGUAAAGGCCUACCAAGGCGACGAUCCAUAGCUGGUCCGAGAGGAUGAUCAGCCACACUGGGACUGAGACACGGCCCAGACUCCUACGGGAGGCAGCAGUGGGGAAUAUUGGACAAUGGGCGCAAGCCUGAUCCAGCCAUGCCGCGUGAGUGAUGAAGGCCCUAGGGUUGUAAAGCUCUUUCACCGGUGAAGAUAAUGACGGUAACCGGAGAAGAAGCCCCGGCUAACUUCGUGCCAGCCGCCGCCGUAAGAC
rnacentral:rRNA from 1 species